GUCUUGUGUGAGUCAAGAGAAGACCAGCAGACACAGAAUCCAUUGCCAUGGAUUCCCAUAUGUAUGUGCACAGUGCGUAUGGCAAUCUGAGCUCUAUACAUACUGCCACCAAAAGAGAAUCCAAAUCUCCCUCUCACUCUCUCUCUCUCUCUCUCUCUCUCUGGUUGCACCACCAGCAGUAGUGACGAGUAGAAAUAGAUCUUCUUUCUACACUGCUAUCUCUCUUCACUGGUUCUUGCCAGUCAGUGGCUUUCUCUCUCCUUUUGCCUCCCUUUCUUGGUUUCAAUCCGUAGCCAAAAAGCCCCAUGGAUGAAAGGAUCCCACUGCUGUUUACUUCCAGUAUUCCCCUUCUGGUGUUCACUCAUCUCCCUCCCCUCACCACUCCAUGAGGUCUCCAGCCACCUCAGACAGAAAAAUAUCUGCCUCCUCCUUGCCUCCUUUUCUCGUGUGAUGUGAUGUGGGGCUUGUGAUUCUUGAUCUUCUUUGUGGUUGAGAAUGCGAUUAAUUGGUUCAUUAUCUGUUCUGGAUUGGUUUCUGAUUUCGUUUGAUCUUGAUUUGUUUAUGAUUGCUAGAAUUUCUUGGGGGUUCAGUAUCCAGUCGACCUGUUCAUGUUAAAUGUUGAAUUUUUAGCCACUUAAAUAUGUUCAGUCACAAAAAUUGUUGCUUGUCAUGGUGAUAUCUUGUGGAGGCUCACAAUUGGAUGCACCUGUUUGUGCUGGUUUUGUCUUAAUUACUAUGCUGCAUCAUAUACUGAGGAAAAGGAACCUAUUUUGGUGCAUAUUGUGUGACUUCUGAAUCUACUUAUAAUAGUAAUUAGCUAAUGGUUACAGGGCACCUUUUACAUCACUUUGAGUUGGUGACUAUUGCUAAAUUGGUUUGGUCUUGCAUUGGAUGUUUACCAAAUACAUAAGCCAUUGUGGAUUCCAGAAUAAUUAUGAUUUGUGCUGUCAUUGUGAUGUAUGCCCCAAUAUAGACUCUCUCCAUUAAUGAGCAAUGGUUUAUUAGUUUGGUCAAAACUGUAUUAGCAUUGAGAAGCAAAAUUCUUGUUGUCAUUAUAGAGUACUUAGAGGCCUAAUGUUUUUUUUGCAUUGCUCGGUACUUGCCAUUUUGAAAGCUGUGGAGCUAUUUUCGCAUGUAUUUGGCUGGAUUGUUGGCUGGGAGGCAAAAGUUGGGACCAUUUCCGCAAGUAUUUCCAUUUUUCUGUAGGCUUCUAAACCAAGGUAUGCUUUCCUAUGUUGCUGGACUGGCUGUUGUAACAUCCAAUUUUCCAAUUUGGUUGAUGUCUUGGCUUCUGAUAUGCAUUUUCUCAUUUUCCAUGAUCAGGCAACGUUGGAAAAUUCAUUUUGGUGAAUUUGCUUGUUGAAUGAAUUGUGUUUAUUUUGGAAUUAGUUCUUUGAUUUUAGCAAUCUGCCAAUGGAAUUAUUCAUAGUGACACUAGAAUUGCACUAUACUAUCUCUUACCAAGUUGAAUAUUUAUAGAUCACACUGACAUCUACAUUUUUUCCCCCCUGAAUCCUGCAUUGCCAGAAGCUUUGUGCGCUGGACCACCCCUCAUCUGUUUAAAAAGUUGGAUUUCUUUUCUUUCUUUUCUUUUCAAAAUGGCCAAUUGUGUUAUCUUGCACUCUUUGCUUUAUUUUCCAGUUCAGGUACACAAAUAAUUUUUUAGCUUUUGAUAUUCAGAGAUACAUAUGGCCUUCUUGGUUUCCAGCUAUGUUCUUGGAUGGUCUUCUGGUUUACUAUCACUAUUUUCUAAAUUGUGCGGGCUUCCGGUUUAGCACCUAACCAAACUUUUGUGGAACAUGAGAGAAUUGAGCAUGUCACUCCAUUAUGAUUAAUUGGGCACCCAUCCAAUGGUGGACUGAUGGAUCUGGGGGGGCGGUCGGGAAAUGCACACAGAGGCUCAGUGAUCGGGAAGAGGAGAUUGUGUCCAAGUUGAUGAAACUCGUACAUUUCAAAUAUGCAUCCGCCUGUAGCUUCACCAAGAGGGGUGUGCAACUGCAAUCUACCACUGUUUGCUGUACCCAAUGAUUAUCCUGAAAGAGGCUCGAAAAAAGGAAGGAAAAGAGGAGGUCGAAGAACAAUUGGAAAAUGAAUACUUUCACAGAACAGGGAUCCUUCAAGCAUCAGCUCCAGGUUGGAAUGGAACUGCUGGAGUUAAUACGAGCCCUAUCACAAAGAAAGUCAUCAGGAAGAAAAGCUAAGGGAUAACCGUGAAACUAGCACCUAAAUGAGCCACUGCAUGUACUUGUGGAAGCAGAGUUUACAGCAGACAUAGUUGACCUUUGUUUAAAUCAAGCUGUGACCAUAUUGGAAGAUCUUUUGAAGCCCAUGGUUGAGUCCAUGGAUUACUACAAGAAUCAACAACUGAGGGAGUUGGCUAUACUGAAUGGUACUUUGAGAGAGAAAACCCUCAUAUGAGCCCCAGCGCAUCUCCCUUCAACAGCACAGGAAUGGAACAGGCGAUGAUCUGAGUUUCUAGUAGAUCAACCCAAUCUCGAUUACCAAAUCCAGGUUUUGUUACCUUAUCAGAGAAUUUUUCUGAUACACAUGGCUGCUAAUUGAAGGUGCUGAGAUCAGUAAUGGUGCUGGGAUCAGUAGCAGGGCUUUGGACCCCAAUAAGAUGAUUUCUAGGCAGUUCUUUGGAUUGGUCAUAUCCUGCGAUACAAAAAUUUUCUGCAUGAUAAUUGCCUUUAACUUCUGCGCGUGAACGCAGCUCUUGAAUUUGUUUAAUUACUUAUUCUUUAUUGUAUGUUUGCUAUUGUAAUAAGUUCAAAUCAGAAUGGAUUCAAUGACAUAUGAUUAUAAUAGAUCUUUUUAUCUUUGGUUUGCCUAUGUGCUA